rnacentral:rRNA from 1 species
CAGCCCGCGAUUGAUACUGGUAACCUUGAGUGCGGAUGAGGUGGAGGAAUUCGUGGUGUAGCGGUGAAAUGCUUAGAUAUCACGAAGAACUCCGAUUGCGAAGGCGUUCACUGGGCCGCAACUGACGCUGAAGCUCGAAAGUGCGGGUAUCAAACAGGAUUAGAUCCCUGGUAGUCCGCACCGUAAACGAUGGAUACUCGCUGCCGGCGAUAUACUGUCGGUGGCACGCGAAAGCAUUAAGUAUCCCACCUGGGGAGUACGCCGGCAACGGUGAAACUCAAAGGAUUGACGGGGGCCCGCACAAGCGGAGGAACAUGUGGUUUAAUUCGAUGAUACGCGAGGAACUUACCCGGGCUUGAACUAUGGUGGACCGUUCCAGAGAUGGAUCUUCCCUUCGGGGCCGCCUGGAGGUGCUGCAUGGUUGUCGUCAGCUCGUGCCGUGAGGUGUCGGCUUAAGUGCCAUAAGAGCGCAACCCUUUCCGUUAGUUGCCAUCAGGUAAUGCUGGGGACUCUAUCGGUACUGCCUCGUAAGAUGUGAGGAAGGUGGGGAUGACGUCAAAUCAGCACGGCCCUUACGUCCGGGGCACACACGUGUUACAAUGGGGGGUACAGAGGGCUGCCACCUGGUGACAGGGAGCCAAUCCCAAAACCUCUCUCAGUUCGGACUGGAGUCUGCAACCCGACUCCACGAAGCUGGAUUCGCUAUAAUCGCGCAUCAGCCAUGGCGCGGUGAAUACGUUCCCGGGCCUUGCACACACCGCCCGU